GAUGAACGCUGGCGGCGUGCCUAAUACAUGCAAGUCGAGCGAACAGGCGAGUAGCUUGCUCCUCUGACGUUAGCGGCGGACGGGUGAGUAACGCGUGGAUAACCUACCUAUAAGACUGGGAUAACUUCGGGAAACCGGAGCUAAUACCGGAUAAUAUAUUGAACCGCAUGGUUCAAUAGUGAAAGACGGUUUUGCUGUCACUUAUAGAUGGAUCCGCGCCGCAUUAGCUAGUUGGUAAGGUAACGGCUUACCAAGGCAACGAUGCGUAGCCGACCUGAGAGGGUGAUCGGCCACACUGGAACUGAGACACGGUCCAGACUCCUACGGGAGGCAGCAGUAGGGAAUCUUCCGCAAUGGGCGAAAGCCUGACGGAGCAACGCCGCGUGAGUGAUGAAGGUCUUCGGAUCGUAAAACUCUGUUAUUAGGGAAGAACAAAUGUGUAAGUAACUAUGCACGUCUUGACGGUACCUAAUCAGAAAGCCACGGCUAACUACGUG
rnacentral:rRNA from 1 species